AAAUUUAUUAUAAAAAAUGUUAUUAAUCAAUUUCGAUCUAUUAUAUUAUUUGAAGAAAUCAGCGCUUCCGGAAACAACGUCUUCUACUGCAGAGCCAAAAGUAGUAGUGCCACCGGCAUUACUCCCAUUGGAGAAAGAAUUGACGUGGAAUGACUUUAUGGCAUGGCGCCGAACUCACCUAGGACCGAAAACAGGAAGGGCAUUUCAUUUUUGGAUCGGAAAUGGUGGGCGGGACUUGCUGACUUUUACCUGGCGAAGAGGGAAUGCUAGAGCCCGAAGGGGUGGCUCUAGCAUAUAAAGGGGGAAUUCAGAGUUUUUGAUAAACAACUACUCGUAUUC